ACCCUCCCGUAUGCCACCCGCUCCUGUCCUGCAGCAGAUCUAGGGUUAGUGGUGGCUUUGCCCCACGCUGGACACGGCACUCCGGCAACCAGGACGGCGACGGCGUCGACGGGAUCCGACGGGAGCGUCCUCCUGCGGCCACUCGCGAACCUACCCGUCUUCUAGGGUUUGAGCCACCGCGUCGCCGGCGUGGCUCCGGCGUUGAUCCGGUGACUCAGGUGACCCACUCCACUCCUCCAUGUCGCAUCUCUCCCUAUCUGCCUCACCAUGUUCCCUCUCCCUCUCAGAUGCGGAGGGGCCGGCGCGUCUGAUGCGGAUCGAUGACGGCGUUCACAGAGGAGGAUAGGGUGGUGGACGACGCGCUGGGCUACCCCAAGGCCUACGCCAGGCUCUGCCGCACCGGCGGGGCGCGCUCGGCCUUCCUCCCCUACGUCCUCCAGCCCCACGAGGCGUUGCAUGCCAAGGACCUGAAUGAGAUGUUCCCGGUGGUGGACACAGAGGCGGCGCCCAUGGAGGACGCCCCUCCACCACUGCUCCGACACCAUCCAGUUGUUGCCGGAUGGAUGUAGGACGACCGACCAUGGAUGAGCACCAGCAGCACCCCCAUGGGUUACAGGCGAUUCGAUCAGGUCCGGGUCCAUGGCGUCCACGGCCGUGGCGGCGCUCGUGGUGACGGACGAGCUGGCCCUGCCGCUCCGCGCGGUGGGGGACCUGGCGGCGGCCGCCGGCGUCUCGCGGGAGGAGGUCGUCGUCAUCACGCACUGCACCUCGCUCGGGUGACUGAGGUUGCAUGUUGUUCAUGACAGGAUCAGGUGCCUAGUUUGUAAUGCUAUCAAAGGAGCUCCAUCAUGAAGAAUAUAUCACAGUUGGUAGAGUAGGGGCUCCAUCGUGCAGAGGUUGUAAAGUAUAGUAUUAGUUACUACAGUUGGUAGUUGGUAGUGCCCUGUGUGUUGGUAGUGCAGGAGGGCCAUUGUAUUAUGUGUUAUUUGUAGAGCAG